AGAACCAGCAAUGGAUAAAUUGGCGAGAAUGUUGCCAAAGGGUGGUUUCUCUGUCCCAAGUGCGGCCACAAUGUUUGAUGUGUUUUAUAGAACCGUGAUUUAUGGAUGUCCAACCUACUAUUUGUGGCGUACGAUGCCGUUGGCCAUAGAAGGCUACCAGAAGUGUUUGGCUUCAAGAAAUGCGAUAAUGUCCCAGCGACUAGUUCCGAAAGAUGAUGGAAAUGGCGUGAGUAACACAAACUUUCCAGUUUAUUGUAGGGCCAUUGCACAGCCCGAGUAGGGCACUUCCUGUUCUAAAUAGUUGCAAUGGUGUUCAGGGGUGUUUGGAGGAUGACUAUCUUUCUCUUAAUUUUAAGACCUUGCCUUGUAAUGGAGUUUUAUAUGUAUUGAAUAAUUUGAACUCCUUGUAAUGGAGUGUUGUCUAUUUAUUGUAUAUAUGGUUUGCUUACU